UACAGAGACUGCAAGCGUUAUUCGGAUUCACUGGGCGUAAAGGGUGCGCAGGCGGUCGGGUGUGUCAGAUGUGAAAUCCCGAGGCUCAACCUCGGAACUGCGUCUGAAACUACUCGACUAGAGUACUGGAGAGGGUAACGGAAUUCACGGUGUAGCAGUGAAAUGCGUAGAUAUCUGGAGGAACACCGGUGGUGAAAGCGGCUCACUGGACCGCAACUGAACGCUGAGGCGCGAAAGCGUGGGGGAGCAAACAGG
rnacentral:rRNA from 1 species